CACUGUCUGCGUAGUUUGUUUUUCCCUUUGCUUUAGGGCAGGUAUACCCCCUUAACCCCAACCACUGUCUGCGUAGUUUGUUUUUCCCUUUGCUUUAGGGCAGGUAUACCCCCUUAACCCCAACCACUGUCUGCGUAGUUUGUUUUUCCCUUUGCUUUAGGGCAGGUAUACCCCCUUAACCCCAACCACUGUCUGCGUAGUUUGUUUUUCCCUUUGCUUUAGGGCAGGUAUACCCCCUUAACCCCAACCACUGUCUGCGUAGUUUGUUUUUCCCUUUGCUUUAGGGCAGGUAUACCCCCUUAACCCCAACCACUGUCUGCGUAGUUUGUUUUUCCCUUUGCUUUAGGGCAGGUAUACCCCUUUAACCCCAACCACUGUGUGCAGUGAAACUCAGUAAAACAUUUUCAGUUCUUCAUGAAAUGCAAUUGAACCAAAACCUGCUGCACAUCCUCCCUAUAUACCUCCAGCACACCCUCCCUGCAUACCUCCAGCACAUCCUCCCUGCAUACCUCCAGCACAUCCUCCCUGCAUACCUCCAGCACACCCUCCCUGCAUACCUCCAGCACACCCUCCCUGCAUACCUCCAGCACACCCUCCCUGCAUACCUCCAGCACACCCUCCCUGCAUACCUCCAGCACACCCUCCCUGCAUACCUCCAGCACACCCUCCCUGCAUACCUCCAGCACACCCUCCCUGCAUACCUCCAGCACACCCUCCCUGCAUACCUCCAGCACAUCCUCCCUGCAUACCUCCAGCACACCCUCCCUGUAUACCUCCAGCCGUUACAUUCCCCCUCUCACAUGUAGCCACAUACACAGCUAACCACUGUCCCUACGUUCCAGUCCUGUGUGUGCAGUGGGCAUUCGCAUUUUCUACUAUCUAUUAGCUAUGUCA